CAGGGUCAGGAGCCGGGGAUAGGGAGGAAGAGGGCCUGUGGACAAGCUGAGCCGGGACCCCUGGGACCUUUGCGGAGGUGGCCUGGGAGCGCUCAGUUCCCAGGCUCAGGCUUCCCGCUGACGCCUCCUGGCCGCAGCGGGCUCCCCCCGCCCCAGGAAUGUUCCUCUCCCAUCCAGUCCGCCUCCCCUAGGGCAGGCCCUCUGGGGGCUGCCGCAGCCCCGCCUCGCCUUCCUGGGCUCCCGGGAGGGGGCGAGGCGGGCAGGACGCCUGGGUUCUCUCCUCCCCCCUCCCAUACCAGGGAGAAAUUCCUCCGAGGUCCCCUCAGGCUCUGGGUUCCCAAAAUAACCCUGCGGGGGAAGGGAGGCUGUGGAGGGAGGGAAGCGGGAGGGGCGCAGAGCCGAGCUGCGGGGUGCUGCAGGUGCCUCUGGGGAGAGGGCGCGAGGAGAAGGCGCCCUGCGGGGGGGCUGGGCGCCAGCCAGUCCUGGGAUCUUGGUUCGUCCCCAUCCUCGUGAAGCCCCUCGGCCUUCCCGCGACUCCGAGGGUGGGCCGGAAGCCUCUCUGCGGGUCCGUUUCCCAACUGGCGGGUUGCACCAUCCCGGGCCAGACCGUUUAACCCCGGGAGUGGCCGCGGGGGACAACUCCGCCCCUGCCCAGCAGGGGGCGUGCCCGCCCCGCCCCGUUUCUGCCCGCGGGGCCGCGCCCCCGCCCGCGCCUCCGCAGACUCCCGCUCUGCCUCUCCCGGGACAGGGGUUCGGUCCGAGCCCGGUGGGAGGCUCCCGGAGCGCAGCCUGGGCCCAGCCCACCCCGCGCCGGCGGCCAUGGCAGGCACCCUGGACCUGGACAAGGGCUGCACGGUGGAGGAGCUGCUCCGCGGGUGCAUCGAAGCCUUCGAUGACUCCGGGAAGGUGCGGGACCCGCAGCUGGUUCGCAUGUUCCUCAUGAUGCACCCCUGGUACAUCCCCUCCUCUCAGCUGGCGGCCAAGCUGCUCCACAUCUACCAACAAUCCCGGAAGGACAACUCCAAUUCCCUGCAGGUGAAAACGUGCCACCUGGUCAGGUACUGGAUCUCCGCCUUCCCAGCGGAGUUUGACUUGAACCCGGAGUUGGCUGAGCAGAUCAAGGAGCUGAAGGCUCUGCUAGACCAAGAAGGGAACCGGCGGCACAGCAGCCUAAUCGACAUAGACAGCGUCCCUACCUACAAGUGGAAGCGGCAGGUGACUCAGCGGAACCCUGUGGGACAGAAAAAGCGCAAGAUGUCCCUGUUGUUUGACCACCUGGAGCCCAUGGAGCUGGCGGAGCAUCUCACCUACUUGGAGUAUCGCUCCUUCUGCAAGAUCCUGUUUCAGGACUAUCACAGUUUCGUGACUCAUGGCUGCACUGUGGACAACCCCGUCCUGGAGCGGUUCAUCUCCCUCUUCAACAGCGUCUCGCAGUGGGUGCAGCUCAUGAUCCUCAGCAAACCCACAGCCCCGCAGCGGGCCCUGGUCAUCACACACUUUGUCCACGUGGCGGAGAAGCUGCUACAGCUGCAGAACUUCAACACGCUGAUGGCAGUGGUCGGGGGCCUGAGCCACAGCUCCAUCUCCCGCCUCAAGGAGACCCACAGCCACGUUAGCCCUGAGACCAUCAAGCUCUGGGAGGGUCUCACGGAACUAGUGACGGCGACAGGCAACUAUGGCAACUACCGGCGUCGGCUGGCAGCCUGUGUGGGCUUCCGCUUCCCUAUCCUGGGUGUGCACCUCAAGGACCUGGUGGCCCUGCAGCUGGCACUGCCUGACUGGCUGGACCCAGCCCGGACCCGGCUCAACGGGGCCAAGAUGAAGCAGCUCUUUAGCAUCCUGGAGGAGCUGGCCAUGGUGACCAGCCUGCGGCCACCAGUACAGGCCAACCCCGACCUGCUGAGCCUGCUCACGGUGUCUCUGGAUCAGUAUCAGACGGAGGAUGAGCUGUACCAGCUGUCCCUGCAGCGGGAGCCGCGCUCCAAGUCCUCGCCAACCAGCCCCACGAGUUGCACCCCACCACCCCGGCCCCCGGUGCUGGAGGAGUGGACCUCGGCUGCCAAACCCAAGCUGGAUCAGGCCCUCGUGGUGGAGCACAUCGAGAAGAUGGUGGAGUCUGUGUUCCGGAACUUUGACGUCGAUGGGGAUGGCCACAUCUCACAGGAAGAAUUCCAGAUCAUCCGUGGGAACUUCCCUUACCUCAGCGCCUUUGGGGACCUCGACCAGAACCAGGAUGGCUGCAUCAGCAGGGAGGAGAUGGUUUCCUAUUUCCUGCGCUCCAGCUCUGUGUUGGGGGGCCGCAUGGGCUUCGUACACAACUUCCAGGAGAGCAACUCCUUGCGCCCCGUCGCCUGCCGCCACUGCAAAACCCUGCCUGUGGUGUGAACUGCCACAAGCAGUGCAAGGAUCGCCUGUCAGUUGAGUGUCGGCGCAGGGCCCAGAGUGUGAGCCUGGAGGGGUCUGCACCCUCACCCUCACCCACGCACAGCCACCAUCACCGCGCCUUCAGCUUCUCUCUGCCCCGCCCUGGCAGGCGAGGCUCCAGGCCUCCAGAGAUCCGUGAGGAGGAGGUACAGACGGUGGAGGAUGGGGUGUUUGACAUCCACUUGUAAUAGAUGCUGUGGUUGGAUCAAGGACUCAUUCCUGCCUUGGAGAAAAUACUUCAACCAGAGCAGGGAGCCUGGGGGUGUCGGGGCAGGAGGCUGGGGAUGGGGGUGGGAUAUGAGGGUGGCAUGCAGCUGAGGGCAGGGCCAGGGCUGGUGUCCCUAAGGUUGUACAGACUCUUGUGAAUAUUUGUAUUUUCCAGAUGGAAUAAAAAGGCCCGUGUAAUUAACCUUCA